GCCUAGCCCCGAUGGGAGCGGCAUCCUUGCUUGGCGGGGUUCGCCGAGCAAGAUAUAGCGGACAGUGGGACGACUC
rnacentral:sRNA from 1 species